rnacentral:rRNA from 1 species
UACGGAGGGAGCGAGCGUUGUCCGAAUUUACUGGGCGUAAAGCGCGCGUAGGCGGGGGAUUAAGUGAGAAGUGAAAGGCUGAGGCUCAACCUCAUGCAGUGCUUCUCAUACUGGUCCUCUUGAGGGUGGUAGAGAGAAGUGGAAUGGCUGGUGUAGCGGUGGAAUGCGCAGAUAUCAGGAAGAACACCGACGGCGAAGGCAGCUCGCUGGGACGGUACUGACGCUGAGGCGCGAAAGCGUGGGGAGCGAACAGG